AAUGAACAGCCUACAAAUGAUCCUUGGGCUGGGCCGCCAUAUUGGGAUGAUGAUGUGAAAUGACACAUGGUAGGAUUGCUUCUGAAAAACAAAUAAAGGCGGUGGCCUGUUGCCCACACCCUCUCUCCUGUCUUCUGCCUCUCAGUGUCUGUUCCACGUGGUCCUGUCUGCCAAGCUGUGCCUCUUGCCUCUACGACCUGAUUCAGGAAUUUCUAAGUCAUUUUGUCCUGGAAGACUGGAUGACUGCCCCUGCUGUGACAUUCGCUGG